ACUGAGAAUUAAAUCGUACUUUCUUUGCAGGGUCGUGGGGUCUCAGCCAACCAGCAUUACUAGAGCAGGAUCCAACCCACAUUAGCCUUUUUUCUACUAUCCUGUUUCCCACACCUGUCCUGUCUCCAGAACACAUGCAAUGAACAGCCAAGACACCAGGGCACCAUCCAGUGCAAUGAACAGCCAAGACACCAGGGCACCAUCCAGUGCCAUGAACAGCCAAGACACCAGGGCACCAUCCAAGUCAGAGCCAACACGUUCCUGUGGGAGGGGGAUUUGGUUUGGCUGGAGUGCUGCUGUCCUCUUUAGUUGCUAAGACAUGGGAAGUUUUGGGGGUUCCAGUGGGCCAGGCUGUACACCCCAAUUCCAGGAAUCCUCUCAACUCUGUCACCCUGGUUGUAAGAUUACAAGGCCCAGUCUUUUCUGUGGGUCCAGUACUUUGCUGACUGAGGGACCUUUCCAGACCCAAGGACACACUGUAUCCUAACCAAAAGACCGAUCCAUUCAUCCAUCCACCCAUCUAUGUUGCUUUCCUUUCUUCAGAUUUAUUUUAUUUUUAUGUAAUGUCUGAGUGCCUAAAUCUACAUGGAUGCCUGGUACCCUCAGAGGCCAGAAGAGGCCAUCAGCUCCCCUGGACCUGCCAUGUGGGAACAGGGAAACAAAUGAGGUUUAGCCACAGAGCCAUCUCUAUAGCCUGCCCCCCAACCCUUCUGAAACAUAGUCAUGCUCUGUAGCUGAGGAUGGCCCACGACCCUCAUGUUUUAAUCCCUCAUGUGCUAGUGUUAAAGGCACAGGCCACCACAACCAGCUCAGAAAUGACAUCUUGCAAUAUUUUCACAACUCAUACACCGGCAGGCCCAAGCCACAGAAAGCAGACCUCUGCUGGUCUCAGGGCCAGAUGGUGGUCAGGGUCUAUCUUUGGGUGAAGAAAGAAGAUGUGGUGAGAGGCAUCUUCUGAUGGGUUGUGCUCUGCAGUGGUGUCCUGCUGCAGGAAGCUAGGCUGAGGUCUAUCAGAUGACCAAC
rnacentral:lncRNA from 1 species